AACGCUGGCGGCGUGCUUACACAUGCAAGUCGAACGAGAAAGCCGAAAGCUUGCUUUUGGCGAGUAGAGUGGCGCACGGGUGAGUAACGCGUGGGUAAUCUGCCUUCGAACCGGGGAUAACACUUCGAAAGGGGUGCUAAUACCGGAUGACAUCCAGGUGUCUUCGGGCGCCUGGAUCAAAGAUGGUCUCUCCAUGGAAGCUGUUGUUCGAAGAUGAGCCCGCGUCCCAUUAGCUUGUUGGUGGGGUAAAGGCCCACCAAGGCGACGAUGGGUAGCUGGUCUGAGAGGAUGAUCAGCCACACUGGCACUGACACACGGGCCAGACUCCUACGGGAGGCAGCAGUGAGGAAUUUUGCGCAAUGGGGGUAACCCUGACGCAGCAACGCCGCGUGAGUGAAGAAGGCCUUCGGGUCGUAAAGCUCUGUCGAGUGGGAAGAACCCGCAUCAGGUGACAAGGCUGAUGCGCUGACGGUACCACUGGAGGAAGCACCGGCUAACUCCGUGCCAGCAGCCGCGGUAAUACGGAGGGUGCAAGCGUUAUUCGGAAUUACUGGGCGUAAAGGGCGCGCAGGCGGCCUGGUAAGUCAGUAGUGAAAGCCCGGGGCUCAACCCCGGAAGUGCUGCUGAAACUGUUGGGCUUGAGUAUGGUAGAGGGAAGCGGAAUUCCUGGUGUAGCGGUGAAAUGCGUAGAUCUCAGGAGGAACACCGGUGGCGAAGGCGGCUUCCUGGACCAAUACUGACGCUGAGGCGCGAAGGCGUGGGUAGCAAACAGGAUUAGAUACCCUGGUAGUCCACGCAGUAAACGGUGAUCACUAGG
rnacentral:rRNA from 1 species